CCUACGGGUGGCAGCAGUGGGGAAUAUUGGGCAAUGGGCGCAAGCCUGACCCAGCAACGCCGCGUGAAGGAAGAAGGCUUUCGGUUUGUAAACUUCUUUUCUCAGGGACGAAGAAAGUGACGGUACCUGAAGAAUAAGCCACUGCCAACUACGUGCCAGCAGCCGCGGUAAUACGUAGGCGGCAAGCGUCAUCCGGUUGUAUUUGGAGUAAAGGGCGUGUAGGCGGCAGCACAAGUCAGAUGUGAAACCUCAGGGCUCAACCCAGGGCCUGCAUUUGAAACUGUGCUUCUUGAGUGCAGGAGAGGCAAUCGGAAUUCCGAGUGUAGCGGUGAAAUGCGUAGAUAUACGGAGGAACACCAGUGGCGAAGGCGGAUUGCUGGACAGUAACUGACGCUGAGGCGCGAAAGCGUGGGGAGCAAACAGGAUUAGAUACCCUAGUAGUC
rnacentral:rRNA from 1 species